GCUAAUACCGGAUGGUUGUCUGAACCGCAUGGUUCAGACAUAAAAGGUGGCUUCGGCUACCACUUACAGAUGGACCCGCGGCGCAUUAGCUAGUUGGUGAGGUAACGGCUCACCAAGGCGACGAUGCGUAGCCGACCUGAGAGGGUGAUCGGCCACACUGGGACUGAGACACGGCCCAGACUCCUACGGGAGGCAGCAGUAGGGAAUCUUCCGCAAUGGACGAAAGUCUGACGGAGCAACGCCGCGUGAGUGAUGAAGGUUUUCGGAUCGUAAAGCUCUGUUGUUAGGGAAGAACAAGUGCCGUUCAAAUAGGGCGGCACCUUGACGGUACCUAACCAGAAAGCCACGGCUAACUACGUGCCAGCAGCCGCGGUAAUACGUAGGUGGCAAGCGUUGUCCGGAAUUAUUGGGCGUAAAGGGCUCGCAGGCGGUUUCUUAAGUCUGAUGUGAAAGCCCCCGGCUCAACCGGGGAGGGUCAUUGGAAACUGGGGAACUUGAGUGCAGAAGAGGAGAGUGGAAUUCCACGUGUAGCGGUGAAAUGCGUAGAGAUGUGGAGGAACACCAGUGGCGAAGGCGACUCUCUGGUCUGUAACUGACGCUGAGGAGCGAAAGCGUGGGGAGCGAACAGGAUUAGAUACCCUGGUAGUCCACGCCGUAAACGAUGAGUGCUAAGUGUUAGGGGGUUUCCGCCCCUUAGUGCUGCAGCUAACGCAUUAAGCACUCCGCCUGGGGAGUACGGUCGCAAGACUGAAACUCAAAGGAAUUGACGGGGGGCCCGCACAAGCGGUGGGAGCAUGUGGUUUUAAUUCGAAGCAACGCGAAGAACCCUUACCAGGGUCUUUGACAUCCCUCUGGACAAUCC
rnacentral:rRNA from 1 species